GGUCUCGCGAAUCUCUAGAUUAGAGUUUGAUCAUGGCUCAGACNUGAACGCUGGCGGCANGCUUAACACAUGCAAGUCGAGCGGGGAAGGGUAGCUUGCUACCUAACCUAGCGGCGGACGGGUGAGUAAUGCUUAGGAAUCUGCCAUUUAGUGGGGGACAACAUUCCGAAAGGAAUGCUAAUACCGCAUACGUCCUACGGGAGAAAGCAGGGGAUCUUCGGACCUUGCGCUAAAUGAUGAGCCUAAGUCGGAUUAGCUAGUUGGUGGGGUAAAGGCCUACCAAGGCGACGAUCUGUAGCGGGUCUGAGAGGAUGAUCCGCCACACUGGGACUGAGACACGGCCCAGACUCCUACGGGAGGCAGCAGUGGGGAAUAUUGGACAAUGGGCGGAAGCCUGAUCCAGCCAUGCCGCGUGUGUGAAGAAGGCCUUUUGGUUGUAAAGCACUUUAAGCGAGGAGGAGGCUCUCCUAGUUAUACCUAGGAUUGAGUGGACGUUACUCGCAGAAUAAGCACCGGCUAACUCUGUGCCAGCAGCCGCGGUGA
rnacentral:rRNA from 1 species